rnacentral:rRNA from 1 species
UACGUAGGGUGCGAGCGUUGUCCGGAAUUAUUGGGCGUAAAGAGCUUGUAGGCGGUCUGUCGCGUCUGCUGUGAAAAAUCCGGGGCUCAACCCCCGGACUUGCAGUGGGUACGGGCAGACUAGAGUGUGGUAGGGGGAGACUGGAAUUCCUGGUGUAGCGGUGAAAUGCGCAGAUAUCAGGAGGAACACCGAUGGCGAAAGGCAGGUCUCUGGGGACGG